GCCGAGGUGGCUCAGUGGUAGAGCACCUCCUUGGUAAGGAGGUGGUCACGGG
rnacentral:tRNA from 1 species